UACGGAGGAUGCAAGCGUUAUCCGGAUUUAUUGGGUUUAAAGGGUCCGUAGGCGGAUCUUUAAGUCAGUGGUGAAAGCCUACAGCUUAACUGUAGAACUGCCAUUGAUACUGGCAAACUUGAGUUAUUGUGAAGUAGUUAGAAUGUGUAGUGUAGCGGUGAAAUGCAUAGAUAUUACACAGAAUACCAAUUGCGAAGGCAGAUCACUAACACUAUAUUGACGCUGAGGGACGAAAGCGUGGGGAGCGAACAGG
rnacentral:rRNA from 1 species